GCUCCCGUAGCUCAAUGGUAGGGCGUCCGACUUCUAAUCGGAAGGUUGUGGGUUCGAGUCCCACCGGGAGUG